CUUUUGGAUAGCGUAGUUUGUAACGUUCUAUUCAACAUUAUCAAUAUACAAUUAAGCUUUCCAGCAUCUCUCUUACCGGUGUUUGAAUUGGAGUUAAAACUCUACACUCUCAUCGUCUAGGGCUUUAGCAGCCACUCUCAGAAAGAAACCUCCAAACCUUAGAGAGAGAACAGCUCAAAAUGCCGGCUGGACACGGUCUCAGGUCUCGUACUCGCGAUCUCUUCUCGCGGGCCUUCAGGAAGAAGGGUUACAUUCCUCUCUCAACCUAUCUGAAGACCUACAGGAUCGGAGACUAUGUCGACGUCAAGGUUAACGGCGCUGUGCACAAGGGUAUGCCCCACAAGUUCUACCACGGACGUACUGGUCGCGUUUGGAACGUCACCAAGCGCGCCAUCGGUGUGGAGAUCAACAAGCAGGUUGGCAACAGGAUUAUCAGGAAGAGGAUCCAUGUGCGUGUGGAGCAUGUGCAGCCUUCAAGGUGCACUGAGGAAUUCUGUUUGAGGAAGAUAAAGAAUGAUCAGUUGAAGGCUGAGGCCAAGGCAAAGGGUGAGGUUAUUAGCACCAAGAGGCAGCCAAAGGGACCCAAGCCAGGUUUCAGGGUUGAAGGGGCAGUCAUGGAAACUGUUACUCCCAUUCCUUAUGAUGUCGUCAAUGAUCUUAAAGGAGGCUACUAGAUCUAUUUUAUGGUUCUGUUGGUUGUCCCCAAGGACUGGUCUAGUUUAUUCAAGUGCUUCUUUAGUUUGAGAUAAAUAAAUACAGCCCAGUUUUCUCCUGCUAUUUCUUCUUGUCUCAGCUAUUGGUUUUUCCCCCCUUUUAAUUAGGCAGUUGAAUUCGGCACUUGCUCAGUGGUUCGCGGCGAUGCGGAGCACUGGUGCCAUAAGCUGAUUGAUCAAUCAAGCAGAUGCGAGCUACAUAGUUGCAUUAAGGAAUGCUCCAAAGAACCAUCUGGUGUGGGAGUGUGCCAAAAUACAGUUUGUUUUUGCACAUACUAUUGUAAGGAUCCUGUAAAGUGAUUACGAGUCAUUUCAUGAGGGCCUGAGGACACGUACGGACGGGCUGUAAAAGCAAUAUCAAGCACAUAACAUUGUUAAUAGUGGGAGAUUUACAUUCAAGUUCUUGUUUAUGUUGUUGUUCAGUAAUCACAUUACCCUUAAUUAUAACAUAAACUUUGAUCCUAACAUGAUCAAUUUGGAUAACCCGGGUUCAACCCGAAUUCAGCCAUGGAUGAGUGUUGGAUUUA